GAGACUGGAGCGCCCGAACUGAGCCACCUUCGCGAACUCGGAGCGCGGCGGCCCGACUCAACCGCGGAGGCGCCCGGACGCGUAAAGGGAGCCCACUUUCUGCCUGGACUCUUCUUGAAGGAGCACACUCCCUCUUCCUGGCCCUUCUUCCUCAGUGGCCAGCAGCCUGUUCAGCAGAUGCAUUUCUGUGUUUGCCCAGCAGACCUCCCAGGCUGGCCCAGGCGGGAUCCCUUGGAGAGACUUCUGGGAGGGGCCCAAUAAAGCUUUGUGCAAUGAGAA
rnacentral:lncRNA from 1 species